rnacentral:tRNA from 1 species
CGGGAAGGUCAGCUGGUAGGCACACAAGGAUUAAUC